rnacentral:rRNA from 1 species
UACAGAGGUCCCGAGCGUUGUUCGGAUUCACUGGGCGUAAAGGGUGCGUAGGUGGCGUGGUAAGUUUGAUGUGAAAGCUCAAGGGCUUAACCCUGAAAUGGCAUUGAAUACUACUGUGCUGGAGGUUUGGAGGGGGGACUGGAAUUCUUGGUGUAGCAGUGAAAUGCGUAGAUAUCAAGAGGAACACCAGUGGCGAAGGCGAGUCCCUGGACAACACCUGACACUGAGGCACGAAAGCUAGGGGAGCAAACAGG